AGAAAGGCUUCCGCGGCGGCAACGUUCGGAGGCUUUUUUCUUUUGC
rnacentral:antisense_RNA from 9 species